AGGGUUUGAUUCUGGCUCAGGAUGAACGCUGGCGGCGUGCAUAACACAUUCAAGUCGAACGGAGUACAUUGAGAGCUUGCUUUUGAUGUACUUAGUGGCGGACGGGUGAGUAACGCGUGAGCAACCUGCCUGACAGAGGGGAAUAACGUCUGGAAACGGACGCUAAUACCGCAUAAAGCAUAGGCCUCGCAUGGGACUUAUGCCAAAGAUUUAUCGCUGACAGAUGGGCUCGCGUCCGAUUAGGUAGUUGGUGGGGUAACGGCUCACCGAGCCUGCGAUCGGUAGCCGGACUGAGAGGUUGAACGGCCACAUUGGAACUGAGAGACGGUCCAG
rnacentral:rRNA from 1 species